GACGAACGCUGGCGGCGUGCUUAACACAUGCAAGUCGAACGGAAAGGCCCUGCUCUUGUGGGGUGCUCGAGUGGCGAACGGGUGAGUAACACGUGAGUAACCUGCCCUUGACUUUGGGAUAACUUCAGGAAACUGGGGCUAAUACCGGAUAGGAGCUCCUGCUGCAUGGUGGGGGUUGGAAAGUUUCGGCGGUUGGGGAUGGACUCGCGGCUUAUCAGCUUGUUGGUGGGGUAGUGGCUUACCAAGGCUUUGACGGGUAGCCGGCCUGGGAGGGUGACCGGCCACAUUGGGACUGAGAUACGGCCCAGACUCCUACGGGAGGCAGAAGUGGAGAAUAUUGCGCAAUGGGCGGAAGCCUGAUGCAGCAACGCCGCGUUCGGGAUGACGGCCUUCGGGUUGUAAACCGCUUUCGCCUGUGACGAAGCGUGAGUGACGGUAAUGGGUAAAGAAGCACCGGCUAACUACGUG
rnacentral:rRNA from 1 species